rnacentral:rRNA from 1 species
UUCGCAAUGCCCGAAAGGGUGACGAAGCGACGCCGCGUGUGGGAAGAAGGCCUUCGGGUUGUAAACCACUGUCGGGAGUUAAGAAAUGCAAGGAUAUGAAUAGUGUCUUUGCUUGACUAAGGCUCCGGAGGAAGCCACGGCUAACUCUGUGCCAGCAGCCGCGGUAAUACAGAGGCGGCAAGCGUUGUUCGGAAUUAUUGGGCGUAAAGAGCACGUAGGCGGCUAUGUAAGUCGGUUGUGAAAGCCUUCCGCUCAACGGGAGAACAGCAUCCGAUACUACAUGGCUUGAGUGCGGGAGGGGAGAGUGGAACUUCUGGUGGAGCGGUGAAAUGCGUAGAUAUCAGAAGGAACGCCGGCGGCGAAAGCGGCUCUCUGGCCCAUAACUGACGCUGAGUGUGCGAAAGCUAGGGGAGCAAAAGGGAUUAGAUACCCCUGUAGUCCUAGCCGUAAACGAUGGGCACUAAGUAGAGGGGUUUU